rnacentral:lncRNA from 1 species
GGCGUGGGACUUUCGAUCUAAUAGAAAGGCGUGUGUUUUCACAGGAUUUUUCUACACGGCUGGAUGGAGUGAAGAAGUCGGGCUUUGUCGAGACGAUAAUAUUGUCAUUGUGUUGUUCAAAACAUUUCUAAUUGUGAUGUUCAAAUAUUCCUGGAAUCUCCAACACUUGCAACAUUCCAGAGGGGAACAAACAGACUCUCUUAGGAGGACGAGCAUCCACAGUUGGGAUAAUUUUUCUGUGGUGUUAAGCGUAGGCCUGUCUUAACGAACGAGACAUUGUGAAUGAGUGAAGGAGACAUUUAAUUAUUCCUUGGUGAAGGAGACUUUUGAUUAUUUCUUUGUGAAGGAGACUUUUGAUUAUUUCUUUGUGAAGGAGACUUUUGAUUAUUUCUUUGUGAUUAUUCCUUAGUGAAGGAGACAUUUGAUUAGACUCUAUUCCUUAGUGAAGGAGACAAUGUUUCGUAGUGAAGGGUUCAUUAAUCGUUAUCGAAGAAGAUACUCAUCCAUGGUGAAGAAGAAGAUAUCAUUCCUUCACAAUCUUUCGUUCUGUGAAUCCUUUUGAGCCGGAGAGGAACGAACGAGUGUCAAGACUGUGUGACUGUUGUUGGGUGUUUUUUCCCAGUUUUUCUUUCUUUCUUUGGUAAUCUCAGCCUUUCUCUGUGGCGACCGGUUUUGUAACUUGGCACCGAGGAUUGGCCAACCCUCAACAGGACAAUACGCCGCCUGGAUUAGGAGACACUGCGGUCUUCUGGGCGAGAUAGAACACCAGGACGGGUGGUGGUGCGUCAUAGAAGGUUCUCAAACUCCAAAGAUUUGUUUUUUUUGUGUGUAUAUAUGUGUGUGUGUGUGUGUGUGCGUGUGCCAAACGCUGUGUGUGCGUGUAUGCGUGUACGAAACGCUCCGCACAUCUCGGUAUAAUUAUUUCUGUGGCCAUCUGCUCCAGCCACUGCCGUCUGCUGUGAGUCUAGCGGUUCUGCUGUGGGGUUGAACUGAUUCAAUAUACCGCUAGUGUCUGUUGGACUUACCACUCAGCCGCCCAAUUUCCACGUUUUCUGGUGGCGUCUUCUGUCCGUCUGAUGAGCCAGUCGUUUUGUGUCCAGUUCUGUUGGCUGACGUUACACCCUCAACUACGUCAUCACUUCUAGUGUAAGUAAGCGCCCGAGUCUUUCGUCCUGCUGUUACUGGACAGACUAUUGGGGUCAAGGUCACACCCACAAGCUGUACAGCGAGCUGUAGGAAAUCGGCUAACGUGAGCAGAAGCUGAGGAGUCUCGGCUCCUCACCAACCACCCCCCCCCCCUCUUGUGAACGUACUCAGGACUCGGAGACAGAGGAAGUGUGACGUAGAGAGUAAACAUGUCACUCGCCUAGACGUCCUUUCACAGCUAGAUCGGACUGGUGUGGAAAAAAAUAUUAAAGUCCGACUUUAGUAUAAUCCAAGAACUUUACAUAAUAAUUUAAUCUGUAUACGAUCGAGAACUUUCUGUGUGUUGGUGUUGGGCACAGUUAGGCGUUAUAUUCUGUCACUGGGGCUCCCCUGGAUGCGCUAAGGGGUCAUCUUAACUUCAAUGUACGUUUAUCAAUUCUGGAGUCCACGACUUGCUUCUCUUGUCUUGGAGUGUGAUGCUACUUUGAGCGUGCACGAGCGGUCCUGUUAACGUAUUUGAACAAAAUACUGGACUAUUUCAACAUCAUAGACAAUGACGUCAUAAGAACAGAUUUGUUUUCGAUUGUUUUUCUGAAGCUGAAGAAGUACUCUCCAGGAGACUGCAUGCUGUCAGUCCUGUUUAGAAUCUUUUCAUGAACAAACCCACACAACCCCGACAAUACUGUCAGCGGGGAGGUUAGAAAGCCUUUCCUUACAAACACACACGGGCCCUGAGGCUUUCACGUCGGCUGAUUUUCCAGUGGGGAAAGAACGGAGAGAUAAGUCUUAGUGUGUAGAAUUAGCUUUUUGAGUGUUGGGGCGUUUCUUUUUACGAUUGAACAGCCGAAAGAAAUUAAUAUUCUUCUAAAACAUAUUUAAACAAAGCCCUUAUAAUUUAUUUAUCCAAUUUUUUAAAGAAUAUAUAACACCACAAGUUGCAAAUACCGGACGAUCUGACAAACCCUCAAAAAAACUUGGCUAUCUAAUGUUAUGCCAGUGAACCAGUUUGGGAGGACAGUAGUAGGGGAUACUACUUAAAUAUCUACACAGACUUGAAGAGGUUAGUGUAAGUUUUUUAAAAAUAGUAUUGGUUAUGAUAAUAAAUUAUUCUGCUAUUUGCUCUGAGUUCGGGCUUGGCAUUUUUGUGCAGAAUCACGUUUUGUGUCCGGAAGAUUCUUGACAAACUUCGCAGUGAUUUUGUCACCAAACGUUUACUUCGGAGAUUGUAAGCGGAUUGUUUCUUUUUUUUGUGAACGAGUGGAAGUCGUCACACCAGCAUGAUCAGAUCAGUGACAGUGAUAGACUACUGCAGUAGUUACUCUCGGAGAAACGUUUCAAAGUACGGGUCCACUUUUGUUGUGUCUGGAAGCAGGCUGUGAUUUUUUUUCUGAGGCUUUGUUUCUAACAAGAUCGGGGUUAACCAUGACUUCAGGGACUGUGUGGCGUGUGGCAGUGAUGGUGGUUGUCCUACUGGCUAUCUCUCACUCUCAGGUGGACGGCAGGAAGAAGGCGCAUGGGGGAAGGAAAGCCCGCCACUGCGACCAGGGCACACACACGUGCCACAAGGACGCUGACUGUGUGAGUACCAGAAAGUCCUUCCGCUGUAAGUGUAAGACGGGCUACAACGGAGACGGGAAGGUCU